UGAAACAUCUAAGUACCCGGAGGAAGAGAAAACAAUUAGUGAUUCCGUUAGUAGUGGCGAGCGAACGCGGAACAGCCCAAACCACUUUGGUUACGGCCAGAGUGGGGUUGUAGGACUGCGAUAUCUUAACAAAAACGAACUGGAACGACUUGGGAAGGUCGGCCAUAGAGGGUGAGAGUCCCGUACAGGUAAGGUUUUGAGCGGUAGCAGUAUCCUGAGUAGGGCGGGACA
rnacentral:rRNA from 1 species